CGCGAAAGCGGCGCUAAUACCCCAUACGCUCUCCAGGACGCAUGUUCCGGAGAGGAAAGCGGGGGACUCGCUUCGGCGGGCCUCGCACCAGAUGAUGGUCUCGCGCCCGAUUAGCUUGUUGGUGAGGUAACGGCUCACCAAGGCGACGAUCGGUAGCUGGUCUAAGAGGGUGGUCAGCCACACUGGGAUUGAGAUACGGCCCAGACUCCUACGGGAGGCAGCAGUCUAGAAGCUUGGACAAUGGGGGAAACCCUGAUCCAGCGACGCCGCGUGGAGGAUGAAGGCCUUCGGGUCGUAAACUCCUUUUAGUGGGGAAGAAAGACACAGGUGUUAAUACCCCCUGUGUUUGACGGUACCUACAGAAGAAGCUCCGGCCAACUCCGUGCCAGCAGCCGCGGUAAUACGGGGGGGGCAAGCGUUAAUCGGAUUUAUUGGGCGUAAAGGGCGUGUAGGCGGUUCUUUAAGUCGGGUGUCAAAUGUCCACCGCUCAACGGGGAAUCUGCGCCCGAAACUGAAGGACUAGAGUGCGGUAGAGGAGCACGGAAUUCCGGGUGUAGCGGUGAAAUGCGUAGAUAUCCGGAGGAACACCAGUGGCGAAGGCGGUGCUCUGGGCCGCAACUGACGCUGAGACGCGAAAGUGUGGGGAGCGAACGGGAUUAGAUACCCCGGUAGUCCACACCGUAAACGAUGAGCACUAGGUGUAGCGGGCAUCGACCCCUGCUGUGCCGUAGGUAACCCAUUAAGUGCUCCGCCUGGGGAGUACGGCCGCAAGGCUGAAACUCAAAGGAAUUGACGGGGGCCCGCACAAGCGGUGGAGCAUGCGGUUCAAUUCGAGGCAACGCGAAGAACCUUACCAGGCCUUAACAUCACCCUUCACGGGGACCGUACCACCCUGAAAGGGGUGGGCAAGGUAGAUAGGUGGUGCAUGGCUGUCGUCAGCUCGUGUCGUGAGAUGUUGGGUUAAGUCCCGCAACGAGCGCAACCCCUACCCUUACUUGCCAGCGGAUCAUGCCGGGAACUCUAAGGGAACUGCUCGGGCAACCGAGAGGAAGGUGGGGACGACGUCAAGUCAUCAUGUCCCUUACGGCCUGGGCUACACGCGUGCUACAAUGGCCGGUACAGAGCGUUGCAAGACCGAAAGGUGGAGCCAAUCGCAAAAAACCGGCCCCAGUUCAGAUUGAAGGCUGCAACUCGCCUUCAUGAAGCUGGAAUCGCUAGUAAUCGCAGAUCAGCCACGCUGCGGUGAAUACCGUUCCCGGGCCUUGUACACACCGCCCGUCACAUGACCCGAGUCGCCUGGAGCCGAAGUCCACGACCUAACUCGCUUCGGCGAGAUGGAGUGGCCGACGCUCUGGGGGGUAAGGGGGAUGAAGUCGUAACAAGGUAACC
rnacentral:rRNA from 1 species